UACGGAGGGAGCUAGCGUUGUUCGGAAUUACUGGGCGUAAAGCGCACGUAGGCGGCUUUGUAAGUUAGAGGUGAAAGCCCGGGGCUCAACCCCCGGAAUUGCCUUUAAGACUGCAUCGCUUGAAUCCGGGAGAGGUGAGUGGAAUUCCGAGUGUAGAGGUGAAAUUCGUAGAUAUUCGGAAGAACACCAGUGGCGAAGGCGGCUCACUGGACCGGCAUUGACGCUGAGGUGCGAAAGCGUGGGGAGGCAAACAGG
rnacentral:rRNA from 1 species